CCGGGCGCGCGCGCCCGCGAGGCGGCCCCUGGGAGUCGGAGGAGCGCGGCGGCGCGCGAGGCUCCCGCGCCAAGAGCGGUGCUUCCGCGGAGAGUCCCGUCCCGAGGCCAAUCUCGGAAGGUCAUGGAGAAGCCAGGGAGAGCGAAGAGGCCGAGCCGGUGCAAAUCCCCACGCAAGGCGGGCCUAGUGCGCGGCGGCCCUGCGGAGUAAUGCACCAAAUGAAAUUAGCUGGAGAGCGUUUGAUGGCACAGAAUCAUGAUUUGAAGAUGUUUACGCUCUAUGCCGGACGCGUUUGAUGAUGUUCUCUUCGACACAAUUAAUUUUGCAAAGUUUAGAAAUGUGCCAGACGGAGCCCCUGGCACGCAGAGCCACAGGGCUCUGCAGACGCACCUUCCAUGAGAAACCAUCUUGUUUGUUUGUUUGUGAUUUAUUUGAUGCACCAGCACCAAGGCCAGUGUGUUUUUAGAGACCUGUGGAUGAAAUGCCAAAGCAAUUUCUAAACUGGCAAAAUGAAGCUUAUUUUCUGAAAUAACACUUCCCUGUUGAUAAAGUAACUAAAAUGGGCAGCAAAACACCUGCCAGUACGUUGGGCUUCCUAGAUGAACAUGUGUCACAGUAAGACAUGUUCUCUUACCCGUGUGUCCUGAUGACCAGUUCUAUCCAUGUGCAUAUUUUGAACACCAGAAGAAAAUGCUUCUGAGGAAUAGAGUGAAGAAAUAAAAUAAGUCACUAUCGUCAAACUGCUAAAUUACUAAAAUCAACUAAAUGGAGGCAGAGAAAAUCACACCUAUAAUGAAAAUUCUGGAAAUGAAAGGCUUUGUUCUUUGAAAGAAUAAGAGUCCUUUUGAAAGCAGGUGCUGGUGUAUCUAAUUCCUUUAUAUGCUCAGAGAAGGGCACCUUUGCACAGACUUAAGAUGCUCAAUCAACAUUUGUUACCUUGAGUUGCUGUUGAAUUGAAGGCAAAAACAGGACACACAUUCUGUGCCACACGCUCAGCAUUCCAUAGAAGAAUACACAUUGGACCCCAAGUUGGGAAGCCUGGAGUAGAGUUCACGCCAUGGUACCACUUUAGCAAGUCACUUAAUUUCUCCAGACGGUAUCCUUGUCAGGAAUGUGCUGGUGUCACCAGGUGAUACAUAAAAAUCUUUUCAAGUUUGAAUUAGCAAGAAGGCAGAUUACCAGUUUGACAACCCUAAAUAACAAUAAAGUGCCUGGUUUAUUGCCUUGG